rnacentral:rRNA from 1 species
GGGAAUCUGCCCUUGGGUUCGGAAUAACAGUUAGAAAUGACUGCUAAUACCGGAUGAUGUCUUCGGACCAAAGAUUUAUCGCCCAGGGAUGAGCCCGCGUAGGAUUAGCUAGUUGGUGGGGUAGAGGCCUACCAAGGCGACGAUCCUUAGCUGGUCUGAGAGGAUGAUCAGCCACACUGGGACUGAGACACGGCCCAGACUCCUACGGGAGGCAGCAGUGGGGAAUAUUGGACAAUGGGCGAAAGCCUGAUCCAGCAAUGCCGCGUGAGUGAUGAAGGCCUUAGGGUUGUAAAGCUCUUUUACCCGGGAUGAUAAUGACAGUACCGGGAGAAUAAGCCCCGGCUAACUCCGUGCCAGCAGCCGCGGUAAUACGGAGGGGGCUAGCGUUGUUCGGAAUUACUGGGCGUAAAGCGCGCGUAGGCGGCUUUGUAAGUUAGAGGUGAAAGCCCGGAGCUCAACUUCGGAAUUGCCUUUAAGACUGCAUCGCUUGAAUCAUGGAGAGGUCAGUGGAAUUCCGAGU